GAUGAACGCUGGCGGCGUGCCUAAUACAUGCAAGUCGAACGCUGAAGGAAGGAGCUUGCUCUUUCCGGAUGAGUUGCGAACGGGUGAGUAACGCGUAGGUAACCUGCCUGGUAGCGGGGGAUAACUAUUGGAAACGAUAGCUAAUACCGCAUAACAGUAGAUGUUGCAUGAUAUCUACUUAAAAGGUGCAAUUGCACCACUACCAGAUGGACCUGCGUUGUAUUAGCUAGUUGGUGAGGUAACGGCUCACCAAGGCGACGAUACAUAGCCGACCUGAGAGGGUGAUCGGCCAAACUGGGACUGAGACACGGCCCAGACUCCUACGGGAGGCAGCAGUAGGGAAUCUUCGGCAAUGGACGGAAGUCUGACCGAGCAACGCCGCGUGAGUGAAGAAGGGUUUCGGAUCGUAAAGCUCUGUUGUAAGAGAAGAACGAGUGUGAGAGUGGAAAGUUCACACUGUGACGGUAUCUUACCAGAAAGGGACGGCUAACUACGUG
rnacentral:rRNA from 1 species